GUUGAUAUUGCUCAGUUGGUAGAGCUCACCCUAGGUAAUGGUGAGGUCACCAUUUCGACAAUGGGUAUCAGCACCA
rnacentral:tRNA from 1 species